rnacentral:rRNA from 1 species
AGGACAAACGCUAGCGGGAUGCUUUACACAUGCAAGUCGAACGGCAGCGCGGACUUCGGUCUGGCGGCGAGUGGCGAACGGGUGAGUAAUAUAUCGGAACGUGCCCAGUAGCGGGGGAUAACUACGCGAAAGCGUGGCUAAUACCGCAUACGCCCGUACGGGGGAAAGGGGGGGAUUCUUCGGAACCUCUCACUAUUGGAGCGGCCGAUAUCAGAUUAGCUAGUUGGUGAGGUAAAGCUCACCAAGGCGACGAUCUGUAGCUGGUUGAGAGGACGACCAGCCACACUGGGACUGAGACACGGCCCAG